UACGGAGGAUCCAAGCGUUAUCCGGAUUCAUUGGGUUUAAAGGGUGCGUAGGGGGAACGAUAAGUCAGUGGUGAAAGCCCUCAGCUUAACUGAGGAACUGCCAUUGAUACUGUCGAUCUUGAGUACAUUUGAUGUGGGCGGAAUGUGUCAUGUAGCGGUGAAAUGCUUAGAUAUGACACAGAACACCGAUUGCGAAGGCAGCUCACAAAACUGUAACUGACGCUGAGGCACGGAAGCGUGGGGAUCAAACAGG
rnacentral:rRNA from 1 species